ACGAAAAACCGCGUCCCCCCAUAGGGGUACGCGGAGCCUGUUGUUUAUACAGGCAAUGGGAGAGGAGAAACCGGAGGAAGCGCUUAUGGGGAAACGUAAGCGUUCUCCGCGG
rfam:Geomicrobium sp. JCM 19039 DNA, contig: JCM19039.contig00035.